AAUUCUGGACAAUUGGCGCAAGCCUGAUCCAGCCAUUCCGCGUGCAGGAUGAAGGCCCUCGGGUUGUAAACUGCUUUUGUACGGAACGAAAAGGCUCUGGUUAAUACGUGGGGCUCAUGACGGUACCGUAAGAAUAAGCACCGGCUAACUCACUGCCAGCAGCCGCGGUAAUACGUAGGGUGCAAGCGUUAAUCGGAAUUACUGGGCGUAAAGCGUGCGCAGGCGGUGAUGUAAGACAGGUGUGAAAUCCCCGGGCUUAACCUGGGAACUGCAUUUGUGACUGCAUCGCUGGAGUGCGGCAGAGGGGGAUGGAAUUCCGCGUGUAGCAGUGAAAUGCGUAGAUAUCUGGAGGAACACCGGUGGCGAAGGCGGCAUCCUGGACCGGCAUUGACGCUGAGGCGCGAAAGCCAGGGGAGCAAAC
rnacentral:rRNA from 1 species